AUGUGCAAAGGACGCCUUACCGGCGAGCUCGUUGAACCCCAGGUUGUUAAGGUUGGCAAACAGUGGGAAGUAGAUGAUGGAGAAAGGAAUGUCUCUGCAGAAGAGGAAGGAGAAACACUGAGCUCCGAGCUGCCCUGGGGCUGCCACCCAAGAUGGAGUCUCGCUCUGUCACCUAGGCUGGAGUGCAAUGGUGCGAUCUCCGCUCGCUGCAACCUCUGCCUCCCGGGUUCAAGUGAUUCUCCUGCCUCAGCCUCCCGAGUAGCUGAGAUUACAGAGCACAGAGGCUCAUCAGGAAGGACCCCCUGGCAGCCCUGGCCCCAUCCCCGCAGCAACGGAAGGAACACCAGUUCCCCAUGUCCCAUACGCUCACACCUGCUGCCCAGCCUCCCAGGGGACCUGAGAAGCCCACCUCGGUACAUGCCGAAGAAGCCCUCCGCCCGAGCCGUCUUCAUCAGGCAGUCGAUCCUGGAAGCAGAGGCCAGAGUAGGAGCGGGAGGCAGACUGUGA
ensembl:lncRNA novel transcript